UACGUAGGGUGCAAGCGUUAAUCGGAAUUACUGGGCGUAAAGCGUGCGCAGGCGGUUGUGCAAGACCGAUGUGAAAUCCCCGGGCUCAACCUGGGAAUUGCAUUUGUGACUGCACGGCUAGAGUGUGUCAGAGGGGGGUAGAAUUCCACGUGUAGCAGUGAAAUGCGUAGAGAUGUGGAGGAAUACCGAUGGCGAAGGCAGCCCCCCUGGGAUAACACUGACGCUCAUGCACGAAAGCCGUGGGGAGCAAACAGG
rnacentral:rRNA from 1 species